rnacentral:tRNA from 9 species
GCCCAGGUAGCUCAGUUGGUAGAGCAGUGGACUGAAAAUCCUCGUGUCGGUGGUUCGAUUCCGCCCCUGGGCACCA